AUAAUGCGUACUUAAAAAAAUAAAGAUAAUACAAGCAUAGAUCUUUGUCUAUUCUGUUGUAAGUAUAUCUCCGCCAUUAUCAUUCAACAAGACAGAUCCACGUAAAAGAAGCCAUUUUCAAAAUAUGGCUGCCCCCUGGUAGCAUAAUGGCGUUCCCUCGAUCAAAACAAACAACGCAAACUGUCAACGAAUUCAUCAAUAAUAAAAAAUUAGAAGACUUUAUUAAUUUCUUUGAGAAACGCGUUUGGAAACUACAGUAUUGAUUCGACAUCACCGGAAGUUAGAAAUAAAUGUAAAACUUACCGUCGUCAGUACCCGAUGCCCACAUCGUCACCGAAAAUUCACCUUCGAGCGUCUUGAUUUGCACUUGCUUCUGCUCCCACUUUCUAGCCUUCGUUUCUGAGCCCAUUUCCCCAAAAAUCGUAUGAUCAGACGAUUUAAAUUUCGACGAACCACCUUUUCUGGCCUUCUUAGGACCCUUCCUCGAUGGACCAGGGCUUGACUCGACAUAAAUAUCGUUCUCUGGAACUGGGAUUUGAUCAUAUACGCUUAGUGGAUCACUACCGACGAUUUCCUCUUGCGUCUGUAGUAUGAUUUCUUCGCGUCCUGGCUCUGGAAGAGUUUGAAGAGCUAUCAUCGGCUGCCCAUCUUCUCCUUC